rnacentral:rRNA from 1 species
CCUACGGGUGGCAGCAGUGAGGAAUAUUGGUCAAUGGACGAGAGUCUGAACCAGCCAAGUAGCGUGAAGGAUGACUGCCCUAUGGGUUGUAAACUUCUUUUAUCUGGGAAUAAAAUGUUCCACGUGUGGGAUUUUGUAUGUACCCUAUGAAUAAGGCUUGGUUAACUCCGUGCCCGCAGCCGCGGUAAUACGGAGGAUCCGAGCGUUUUCCGGAUUUAUUGGGUUUAAAGGGAGCGUAGGUGGAAUGUUAAGUCAGUUGUGAAAGUGUGCGGCUCAAACGUCAAAUUGCAGUUGAAACUGGCAGUCUUGAGUACAGUAGAGGUAGGCGGAAUUCGUGGUGUAGCGGUGAAAUGCUUAGAUAUCACGAAGAACUCCGAUUGCGAAGGCAGCUCACUGGACUGCAACUGACACUGAGGCUCGAAAGUGUGGGUAUCAAACAGGAUUAGAUACCCUAGUAGUC